GGAUCGCAAGACCUUGCGCUUUUGGAGCGGCCGAUGUCUGAUUAGCUAGUUGGUGAGGUAAAGGCUUACCAAGGCUUCGAUCAGUAGCUGGUCUGAGAGGACGACCAGCCACACUGGGACUGAGACACGGCCCAGACUCCUACGGGAGGCAGCAGUGGGGAAUUUUGGACAAUGGGGGAAACCCUGAUCCAGCCAUGCCGCGUGAGUGAAGAAGGCCUUCGGGUUGUAAAGCUCUCUCAGCCGGAACGAAAAGGUUACGGUUAAUACCCGUGACUAAUGACGGUACCGGAAGAAGAAGCACCGGCUAACUACGUGCCAGCAGCCGCGGUAAUACGUAGGGUGCAAGCGUUAAUCGGAAUUACUGGGCGUAAAGCGUGCGCAGGCGGUUUUGUAAGUCAGAUGUGAAAUCCCCGGGCUUAACCUGGGAACUGCGUUUGA
rnacentral:rRNA from 1 species